CCCCUAGAUGUUCUGGGCCGCACGCGCGCUACACUGAACAGUUCAACAAGUCUUAACCUUGGCUGAUAGGCCUGGGUAAUCUUUGAACGUGAAUCGUGAUGGGGAUAGAUGAUUGCAAUUAUUCAUCUUCAACGAGGAAUUCCUAGUAAACGCAAGUCAUCAGCUUGCAUUGAUUACGUCCCUGCCCUUUGUACACACCGCCCGUCGCACCUACCGAUUGAAUGGUCCGGUGAAAUCUUCGGAUCUGAGAGAUGUCUGAUUAAUUUCGGACGCCUUUUGGAAAAGUUGCUUAAACCUUACCAUUUAGAGGAAGGUGAANUCGUANCA
rnacentral:rRNA from 1 species